UUAUAGUUUUGACAAUUGUAGAAUAUUAAAAGCCUUCCUUUUUAAGGAUUAGGGAAAAUAUUCAGGUCAUUAUUUGUUUAACUCAAGCGUUUAAUUACGCGAAUGUCUUCUUCAAAAUACCCUCCUAUGGUCUCAGAGGAUAUGUGUGAGUGUUCUGUGCCCUGUCUUCCUUACAAUAAUAAUAAGCAAAAAGUAAAUACAAUUUGGUGUUUAAAUAGCUUUCCUCUUUUCUUCGGCCACCCGGGUCUUCAUUUCGUUUAAUUAAUCUGUUCACCGCUGGCGCGCACCAGCCCUCUGCGGCGCCCUGGGAGGCUUCGGGUCCACGCGCACGAGAAGGAGCGGCGCGGCCUGCGCCUGGAUCGCGCGUGGGCCUGCGUGCACCGCGGCACCGCUCCUCCUCGCUGCCGAGAGAAGGGCUCCGGGAGCUGUCGGUGCCUUCUGUCUUGAGCGUCCACGGAGUGUUGCUUUCGGUGCCGGUGCCGGAGUCACUAGCUUAGAGCAAGCAAGUGAUGCUCGCCCUCCCCAAGGCGCGAUGCAGGGGACCCCCUGGAGGGUGAUGCUCUGACUAAUGAGCAGAGGCCACUAAUGAAGAGCGAGGCUGGGUCUCUCCUUUUCCAGAGACUGAGCCCAUUACCCUCUGGGUCCUCACUAGCCUGCGGGCACCCAGCCUGCUCCCCCAACGGAUGACUUCUGGCUCACUGUGCCGCUCGCAGUCCCGGUGCCAGUGGCCGGGAAUAACCUUGCUUUUGGCAGAAAUCCAGCCAGCGCAGCACACACGAGCCUCCUGCUGUCCUGCCGGCCGGCCUGUGACACGAGGGCUGGGUCAUGACCCCGCAAGGUAUUUAGGAUUCUACAAUGGUCGCACUGUAAUCAUUAGGCUUCUGAUUCCAGGCAGAAGGAGGACUCCUGAAGCCUCCGAAGGAAGGAAAUCAUUACAGGGCCCUACAGAAGUAGGUCAUGUGCUACAGCUGCUCAUAGUUUAAGAGGAAGAAACAUGGGACCUCAAACCUGGAACACAACUCUUUCAAAAUGCUUGAGAGCAGCCCAAGAAAAACAUCCUCCCGAGGCUUAUCUAAUAACCAUGAUCUAUAAUCGUCUCAAUGUGUGCUUGCAUUUCCUUCGGAGUUUGCACCUACUUCCCAGAGCUAACGAGAUGCUGAAACAGAACACAGAAAAAUUUAAUGAAGGGGAUUUAAUAGUUUGUGUUAAAGCUAAUAUGGUCCAUUAGGAGCUGUCAUUUUUAUAAACAAUGAAGAUAUGUUACCCUCUCCUUUGGUGUAAAGUCAUUCCAUGCAGGACCUGUAAACAUUCAGUAAUGAUCUGUAGAACUUGCAUGAAAGACAAUUAAGACACCACUUGAAAAGUCUCUUUUCCUCACAUAUUUGGUUUCUUGCUAAAUAAACUCGUAAAGAUCAUACA
rnacentral:lncRNA from 12 species